UUUUUUUUUUUUUUGCCUUUGGGUGCUUUGUCCCAAACAUGGGCAGCUUCCCUAAAGCUGUUAAAGACUUAUUAACACUGAUGUGUGGGAGCCAAGCACUCAUUAGCACUUACAUAGGAACCUCUGCCUGUUCUGGAGAACUAAUUUCUUGGAAAACAGUAAGAGUUUUCAUGAAGCAGUUCUGAAGAAUGAAGACAGAUUUGGGGUAAAGUAUGGCAGCUCGUAGAAAGUGAGUAUAUCAGCAAUGACAGAGAGUAAGUCUGCAGAAGAGAUUUGAUGGGUCCCACAGAAAGAUGCAUAUCUGGGGGAGAUCAGGUAAACCGUAAGAAUAUAAAUAAAAACUUACAGUUGAAACAAUAGCACAGUCACCUCUUCUUUCUUUCAAAGAACAUCUCUUAUUCUGGGUUGUGUUUAAAGGUUUGAUUGACACCUGUAAAACAUGAAAUGUUUUGUGAACUUUUGCCAAGUGUGUCUCCCAUUGGCAGCAUGGUAAAUAGUUCUGGGUACAGGUGAUGGUAGCACAAUUAAUAAAACUUUUACCAAUCUGCACUAUUUUUUUUCAAUUACUGACAUCUACAUAAUUGUCUUCCUUGUCUCUGUCCCUUUUCCAUGUUGAAAAUGAGCUACUUAAUUGUCCUUGCCAAUGCCAUCAUGAUGCUAGCUUUCUGUGCCGGUCUCUUCCUAAGCUCUCCACUUAUUCUUCUCUUUAUGAAAUCAUGACGCAGAAAAAUAAUGUAUAAAUAUGUAUCUUCUCAGUGUAAACCCCACACGUUAACAUAUAGGAUUGCCUUUUCACACCCCCAGCAGCACAGCAAUUCUGCAUUUAAAUGGCAAUUUAUGUUAAAUUGCUUAUUGAUGUUUUAAGAUACACACAAAUAUUAUUUACACAUUUCAGCUUACUAUAUAUUUGCACAAGGAAGAAACUGUAUAUAUAAUGACCUUGUGAGGUCUUCAGCUAAAAUAAUAUGAAUAGUGAAAAUCCAUCAAUAGUCAUAUUAAGGAAAGUGCAAACACACAUUCUUUUCCUUCGUCACUUUACGUUUGUGUAUUUUAUUUCUCAUUCUGUCACCUAACUAUGGAUUGAGUGCUCAUGCCAAGAACAUGAAUGUUAAAGAAUGGGGUAAGAAGUUAUAGCUGUAACUACUCCCAACCGUGGGGAGGUUGUAAAUAAAGCAAUUUUUCAUAAUUAUUCAUCUAUCAGUUUUACCAUAGAACUUUAGAUGAGUAUUGAAAAGGAAAACAAUUGAAGUGGAAAUUGAAUAUAUGUAGGUUUAAACCGGUUUUUCUUUGUCGUUGUUGGCAUAGGUCCAGGUAUGCUCUGGUGGGCCAAGUGUAUUGAGUAGUGAUUAGCAAGUUUUAUUCCAGCUUUUCAAUAGAUGCAGUUUUGAGCACUGUCAGAAUAUCCUCUGUGUAUUCACAGCACCUAACCGUGCUCAUCCAAAAUAGAUCCCUGAGUCCUGAAGCUCGGCAAGAAAGAUUAUCCUCUGAAAUCUCUAGGGUCAUGAAGGCAUUCUAAUCAUUUCUAAUAUUAGCUGAGUACUUAGGCUGUUACAUGGUACAGUAUAUAGCUUCCUGCUUCCCAGGGCCCCCUUUACACAAAUAAGCAGGUGUUGACAAUCCAUUAUAUUGUUGCUUUUG
rnacentral:lncRNA from 1 species